rnacentral:rRNA from 1 species
CCUACGGGAGGCAGCAGUGGGGGAUAUUGCACAAUGGAGGAAACUCUGAUGCAGCGACGCCGCGUGAGGGAAGACGGUCUUCGGAUUGUAAACCUCUGUCUUUGGGGAAGAAAAUGACGGUACCCAAAGAGGAAGCUCCGGCUAACUACGUGCCAGCAGCCGCGGUAAUACGUAGGGAGCGAGCGUUGUCCGGAAUUACUGGGUGUAAAGGGAGCGUAGGCGGGCGAGAAAGUUGAAUGUUAAAUCUACCGGCUUAACUGGUAGCUGCGUUCAAAACUUCUUGUCUUGAGUGAAGUAGAGGCAGGCGGAAUUCCUAGUGUAGCGGUGAAAUGCGUAGAUAUCACACAGAACACCGAUUGCGAAGGCAUCUCACGAAUCCGCGAUUGACGCUGAUGCACGAAAGCGUGGGUAUCAAACAGGAUUAGAUACCCGGGUAGUC